rnacentral:rRNA from 1 species
GACGAACGCUGGCGGCGUGCUUAAUACAUGCAAGUCGAACGGAAAGGCCCUGCUUUUGCGGGGUGCUCGAGUGGCGAACGGGUGAGUAACACGCGAGUAAACUGCCCUUGUCUGUGGGAUAACUUCAGGAAACUGGGGCUAAUACCGGAUAGGAGCUCCUGCUGCACGGUGGGGGUUGGAAAGUGUCGGCGGUUGGGGAUGGACUCGCGGCUUACCAGCUUGUUGGUGGGGUAGUGGCUUACCAAGGCUUUGACGGGUAGCCGGCCUGAGAGGGUGACCGGCCUCAUUGGGACUGCGGUACGGCCCAGUCUCCUACGGGCGGCAGCAGUGGGGAAUAUUGCACAAUGGGCGGACGCCUGAUGCAGCAACGCCGCGUGCGGGAUGACGGCCUUCGGGUUGUAAACCGCUUUCGCCUGUGACGAAGCGUGAGUGACGGUAAUGGGUAAGGAAGCACCGGCUAACUACGUG